AUUGAACGCUGGCGGCAGGCCUUACACAUGCAAGUCGAACGAGUGGCGGACGGGUGAGUAAUAUCUGGGAACGUGCCUGAUAGCGGGGGAUAACUACUGGAAACGGUAGCUAAUACCGCCUACUAUUGGAUAGGCCCAGAUGGGCUUAGCUAGUAGGUGGGGUAAAGGCUCACCUAGGCAACGAUCCGUAGCUGGUUUGAAAGGAGGACCAGCCACACGGGAACUGAGACACGGGCCAGACUCCUACGGGAGGCAGCAGUGGGGAAUAUUGGACAAUGGGGGCAAGCCUGAUGCAGCCAUGCCGCGUGUAUGAAGAAGGCCUUCGGGUUGUAAAGUACUUUCAGCGGGGAGGCGUUACCCGCAGAAGAAGCACCGGCUAACUCCGUGCCAGCCGCCGCGGUAAUUC
rnacentral:rRNA from 1 species